GGUCCAAUUAAAGCUUUUAAUUUCAUUUUCCUUUUAUUCAAUUGCAGGUUGGUGAUGUUAAGAUGCAAUACCAAACAAUGACCAGGAUGUUGAUGGUAUGGAUGUCCGCAUCCAUACUCCCGUUUGUUUCAUUUCCUUCUGUUAAACUUGAAGUCUGUUUCAAAGCAUUAGCUCAUUUCAGUGCUACAAUAAUAAGAUUCCAAGGCUUGCAGUCUCUUGGACAACCAAAGAAUUAAUGUUUAUGGAGACACCGUCCUGUAUCAUCUCGUAAGUCAAAAUUGGUGUCGUAAAGA
rnacentral:lncRNA from 1 species